rnacentral:rRNA from 1 species
AUGAACGCUAGCGGCAGGCCUAAUACAUGCAAGUCGGACGGGAUAGGAGAGCUUGCUUUCCUUGAGAGUGGCGCACGGGUGCGUAACACGUAUGUAACCUACCUUGUUCAGGGGGAUAGCCUCUCGAAAGAGAGAUUAAGACCGCAUAACAUUAAGUUGUGGCAUCGCAAUUUAGUCAAAUAUUUAUAGGAACAAGAUGGGCAUGCGGAACAUUAGCUAGUUGGUAAGGUAACGGCUUACCAAGGCUACGAUGUUUAGGGGAUCUGAGAGGAUUACCCCCCACACUGGUACUGAGACACGGACCAGACUCCUACGGGAGGCAGCAGUAAGGAAUAUUGGUCAAUGGACGGAAGUCUGAACCAGCCAUGCCGCGUGCAGGAAGACGGCCCUAUGGGUUGUAAACUGCUUUUGUACGGGAAUAAACCUUCGGUCGUGACCGAAGCUGAAUGUACUGUAAGAAUAAGGAUCGGCUAACUCCGUGCCAGCAGCCGCGGUAAUACGGAGGAUCCAAGCGUUAUCCGGAUUUAUUGGGUUUAAAGGGUGCGUAGGUGGCUUUUUAAGUCAGGGGUGAAAGACGGCAGCUUAACUGUCGCAGUGCCUUUGAUACUGAAGAGCUUGAAUGAACUAGAGGUAGGCGGAAUGUGACAAGUAGCGGUGAAAUGCAUAGAUAUGUCACAGAACACCAAUUGCGAAGGCAGCCUACUAUGGUUUGAUUGACACUGAGGCACGAAAGCGUGGGGAUCAAACAGGAUUAGAUACCCUGGUAGUCCACGCCCUAAACGAUGAAUACUCGAUGUUGGCGAUAUACGGUCAGCGUCUAAGCGAAAGCGUUAAGUAUUCCACCUGGGGAGUACGCCCGCAAGGGUGAAACUCAAAGGAAUUGACGGGGGCCCGCACAAGCGGAGGAGCAUGUGGUUUAAUUCGAUGAUACGCGAGGAACCUUACCCGGGCUUGAAAGUUAGUGAAUGUGACAGAGACGUCACAGUCCUUCGGGACACGAAACUAGGUGCUGCAUGGCUGUCGUCAGCUCGUGCCGUGAGGUGUUGGGUUAAGUCCCGCAACGAGCGCAACCCCUAUGUUUAGUUGCCAGCAUGUAAUGAUGGGGACUCUAAACAGACUGCCUAUGCAAAUAGAGAGGAAGGAGGGGACGACGUCAAGUCAUCAUGGCCCUUACGUCCGGGGCUACACACGUGCUACAAUGGGCAGUACAGAGGGCAGCUACCUGGUAACAGGAUGCCAAUCUCCAAAAGCUGUUCACAGUUCGGAUCGGGGUCUGCAACUCGACCCCGUGAAGUUGGAUUCGCUAGUAAUCGCGUAUCAGCAAUGACGCGGUGAAUACGUUCCCGGGCCUUGUACACACCGCCCGUCAAGCCAUGGAAGCUGGAAGUGCCUGAAGUGCGUAACCGCAAGGAGCGUCCUAGGGUAAAGUCGGUAACUGGGGCU